UACGUAGGUGGCAAGCGUUGUCCGGAUUUACUGGGCGUAAAGGGCGUGCAGGCGGCUUGUUAAGUGCCGGGUGAAAGCUCCCGGCUCAACUGGGAGAGGUUCUUGCAUACUGGCGAGCUCGAGGGAGGCAGAGGAAAGUGGAAUUCCCGGUGUAGUGGUGAUAUGCGUAGAUAUCGGGAGGAACACCUGUGGCGAAGGCGGCUUUCUGGGCCUUACCUGACGCUGAGACGCGAAAGCGUGGGGAGCGAACCGG
rnacentral:rRNA from 1 species